AGAGUUUGAUUAUGGCUCAGAUUGAACGCUGGCGGCAGGCUUAACACAUGCAAGUCGAACGAUGACUCUCUAGCUUGCUAGAGAUGAUUAGUGGCGGACGGGUGAGUAACAUUUAGGAAUCUGCCUAGUAGUGGGGGAUAGCUCGGGGAAACUCGAAUUAAUACCGCAUACGACCUACGGGUGAAAGGGGGCGCAAGCUCUUGCUAUUAGAUGAGCCUAAAUCAGAUUAGCUAGUUGGUGGGGUAAAGGCCCACCAAGGCGACGAUCUGUAACUGGUCUGAGAGGAUGAUCAGUCACACCGGAACUGAGACACGGUCCGGACUCCUACGGGAGGCAGCAGUGGGGAAUAUUGGACAAUGGGGGCAACCCUGAUCCAGCCAUGCCGCGUGUGUGAAGAAGGCCUUUUGGUUGUAAAGCACUUUAAGCAGGGAGGAGAGGCUAAUGGUUAAUACCCAUUAGAUUAGACGUUACCUGCAGAAUAAGCACCGGCUAACUCUGUGCCAGCAUCCGCGGUAAUACAGAGGGUGCGAGCGUUAAUCGGAAUUACUGGGCGUAAAGCGAGUGUAGGUGGCUCAUUAAGUCACAUGUGAAAUCCCCNGGCUUANCCUGGGAACUGCAUGUGAUACUGGUGGUGCUAGA
rnacentral:rRNA from 1 species